GCCCAGAUGCGCGCCAGUGGUCUGGUGAGCGGGCUUCAUCCCCGUAGCUGAUGAUAACCGGGGUGGUUCGAUUCCUUCUUCUGGGCG